AGGGUUCGAUUCUGGCUCAGGAUGAACGCUAGCGACAGGCUUAACACAUGCAAGUCGAGGGGCAUCACGGGAGUAGCAAUACAACUGGUGGCGACCGGCGCACGGGUGAGUAACGCGUAUGCAACCUACCUAUCAGAGGGGAAUAACCCGGCGAAAGUCGGACUAAUACCGCAUAAAACAGGGGCACCGCAUGGUGAUAUUUGUUAAAGAAAUUCGCUGAUAGAUGGGCAUGCGUUCCAUUAGGUAGUUGGUGAGGUAACGGCUCACCAAGCCGACGAUGGAUAGGGGAACUGAGAGGUUGGUCCCCCACACUGGUACUGAGACACGGACCAGACUCCUACGGGAGGCAGCAGUGAGGAAUAUUGGUCAAUGGGCGGGAGCCUGAACCAGCCAAGUCCGCGUGAAGGAAGAAGGAUCUAUGGUUCGUAAACUUCUUUUGCAGGGGAAUAAAGUGCAGGACGUGUCCUGUUUUGUAUGUACCCUGAGAAUAAGGAUCGGCUAACUCCGUGCCAGCCGCCGC
rnacentral:rRNA from 1 species